rnacentral:rRNA from 1 species
AGCAGAGCACUCCUACGGGAGGCAGCAGUGGGAAUAUUUGGACGAAGGUGGGGAACCCUGAUCCAGCCAUGCCGCGUGUGUGAAGAAGGCCUUAUGGUUGUAAAGCACUUUAAGCGAGGAGGAGGCUACUGAGACUAAUACUCUUGGAUAGUGGACGUUACUCGCAGAAUAAGCACCGGCUAACUCUGUGCCAGCAGCCGCGGGUAAUACAGAGGGUGCGAGCGUUAAUCGGAUUUACUGGGCGUAAAGCGUGCGUAGGCGGCCAUUUAAGUCAAAUGUGAAAUCCCCGAGCUUAACUUGGGAAUUGCAUUCGAUACUGGAUGGCUAGAGUAUGGGAGAGGAUGGUAGAAUUCCAGGUGUAGCGGUGAAAUGCGUAGAGAUCUGGAGGAAUACCGAUGGCGAAGGCAGCCAUCUGGCCUAAUACUGACGCUGAGGUACGAAAGCAUGGGGAGCAAACAGGAUUAGAUACCCUGGUAG